GACGAACGCUGGCGGCGUGCUUAACACAUGCAAGUCGAGCGGUAAGGCCCUUUCGGGGGUACACGAGCGGCGAACGGGUGAGUAACACGUGGGUGACCUGCCUUUAGCUCUGGGAUAAGCCUGGGAAACCGGGUCUAAUACCGGAUAUGACUCCGCGGCGCAUGUUGUGGGGUGGAAAGCCUUGUGCGGCUGGAGAUGGGCCCGCGGCCUAUCAGCUUGUUGGUGGGGUGAUGGCCACCAAGGCGACGACGGUAGCCGGCCUGAGAGGGCGACCGGCCACACUGGGACUGAGACACGGCCCAGACUCCUACGGGAGGCAGCAGUGGGGAAUCUUGCGCAAUGGGCGAAAGCCUGACGCAGCGACGCCGCGUGAGGGAUGACGGCCU
rnacentral:rRNA from 1 species